rnacentral:rRNA from 1 species
GGAGCUUGCUCCUUGAUUCAGCGGCGGACGGGUGAGUAAUACCUAGGAAUCUGCCUGAUAGUGGGGGACAACGUUUCGAAAGGAACGCUAAUACCGCAUACGUCCUACGGGAGAAAGCAGGGGACCUUCGGGCCUUGCGCUAUCAGAUGAGCCUAGGUCGGAUUAGCUAGUUGGUGAGGUAAUGGCUCACCAAGGCGACGAUCCGUAACUGGUCUGAGAGGAUGAUCAGUCACACUGGAACUGAGACACGGUCCAGACUCCUACGGGAGGCAGCAGUGGGGAAUAUUGGACAAUGGGCGAAAGCCUGAUCCAGCCAUGCCGCGUGUGUGAAGAAGGUCUUCGGAUUGUAAAGCACUUUAAGUUGGGAGGAAGGGCAGUAAGCUAAUACCUUGCUGUUUUGACGUUACCGACAGAAUAAGCACCGGCUAACUCUGUGCCAGCAGCCGCGGUAAUACAGAGGGUGCAAGCGUUAAUCGGAAUUACUGGGCGUAAAGCGCGCGUAGGUGGUUCGUUAAGUUGGAUGUGAAAUCCCCGGGCUCAACCUGGGAACUGCAUC